rnacentral:rRNA from 1 species
CAGCAGCCGCGGUAAUACGUAGGGUGCGAGCGUUAAUCGGAAUUACUGGGCGUAAAGCGUGCGCAGGCGGUUGUGUAAGACAGGUGUGAAAUCCCCGGGCUUAACCUGGGAACUGCGCUUGUGACUGCACAGCUAGAGUAUGGCAGAGGGGGGUGGAAUUCCACGUGUAGCAGUGAAAUGCGUAGAGAUGUGGAGGAACACCGAUGGCGAAGGCAGCCCCCUGGGCCAAUACUGACGCUCAUGCACGAAAGCGUGGGGAGCAAACAGGAUUAGAGACCCCUGUAGUCCCUGUCUCUUAUAA